UACGAAGGGGGCUAGCGUUGCUCGGAAUUACUGGGCGUAAAGCGCGCGUAGGCGGAUCGUUAAGUCGGGGGUGAAAUCCUGGAGCUCAACUCCAGAACUGCCUUUGAUACUGGCGAUCUUGAGUCCGGGAGAGGUGAGUGGAGCUCCGAGUGUAGAGGUGAAAUUCGUAGAUAUUCGGAAGAACACCAGUGGCGAAGGCGGCUCACUGGCCCGGUACUGACGCUGAGGUGCGAAAGCGUGGGGAGCAAACAGG
rnacentral:rRNA from 1 species